AGACAAUUGUGUAAUAAGCUAAACCAAGAAAGCUUUAAGACGCGCUCAACAUGUAACAUCAAUAAUCAUCUUUAUCACCUUAAAAAAUAUGCUUAUUACUAAACAGUUGUAAAUUGGGCUCUUCAACGAGACUUGUAAUUAAUAAUAACAAGAUUGACUCAACAAUUACUAUUAUAAUUAACGAGUAACUUAAAUUGUCAAAGUAAGGAGGCUGUUUUAACGCUUACUAAACUUGGUGUUUACCAAGCCAAAGGAGCAGCCAAGCUGAAGCCAAAAAUCCUGUCAACAUCAACAACAACUAAUAAUGUUAAUUGUAAUAUAAUAUACAAAGAAAAAAAAACAUUUUAUUAACAAGGAAUAUUCAAUGGAUGGCCAAAUAAAAGCAAAGGAUUUAAAGGUGUUCAUUUUGUUCGUUGCAAAGUUUACAAAUGAUUGAUAACUUCCCAAAUCUUACCCAUAUUUACCUGAAUAAUUAAUAAACGAUCCAGCUAUUGAUUAAUUAUAUUGUUGAUUUGUUAAUCAUCCAAUAUAUAUAUAAAUAAAAAACAACAACAAAAAGGCGAUGCUGUUGGUGCUUAAUAAAAUAACCCUAGGCUAAUAGCUAAUGAUUAACGUGGUAAUUUUGAGGCAACAACAACCAGUAACCAGCGCGUGUUGGGCGUACCAGCAGACCAUUUGAGACCCAAAAAUGUUAAUGAACAAGACUACAGAAGAUUCUCGUUUUUGGUUGAAAUAAUGUUGUUGAAAAGAAGAUGAACAUUUAAAAGCAAACAGAUAAUUGAUAAACUCAAGUCGAUGAUAAAUAAGGUGCCUCUUAAUGAUGAAAUUAUCAACUUUUAAACUUCUCUUCACUCCAUCAUUUUCCUGUUGACAAAGAGCGUAAUCGUUUAGAGCAACAUAAUCACCUCAAAAUUCAUGCAAAAUUAACUCUGGAAUAAAUUUUUUUCUCACUUUAUUCUGAAUGAUUGAGGUUAACAAUGUUGAAACUCUGAUUGGACGAUUGAUUGAUUGAACGGAAAUUCAACUUUUAUCAUCAUAAUCAUCAUGUUCUGAGUAUCUUUAUGUUCAUCAGUUUCAACGAGAUUUCGGACAAAUUACAUUUUUACGCUUUCUUCUCCUUCUUUCAUGCUGAUAAACAAUUUCAAACAUCUUAAUAAACCGAUGAUUGUUCAAUAUCAAUGUUUAAACCAGCAAAACUACUGAAACUUUAAUUCAAUCUAAUCAUUUUAAUCAACAAUCAAGUGAUGAUUAGCUUGGCAUUUGCUUCCAAUUCAAUAUAACAAACAUGUACCUUUUGGAUUUUGCCGACAAAUUUAAGAUCACUUUUUUUCUGUUUC